GAUGAACGCUAGCGGGAGGCCUAACACAUGCAAGCCGAGCGGUAGAGUUUCUUCGGAAACUUGAGAGCGGCGCACGGGUGCGUAACACGUGUGCAACCUACCUUUAUCUGGGGGAUAGCCUUUCGAAAGGAAGAUUAAUACCCCAUAAUAUAAUGAUUGGCAUCAAUUAUUAUUGAAAACUCCGGUGGAUAGAGAUGGGCACGCGCAAGAUUAGAUAGUUGGUGAGGUAACGGCUCACCAAGUCAAUGAUCUUUAGGGGUCCUGAGAGGGAGAUCCCCCACACUGGUACUGAGACACGGACCAGACUCCUACGGGAGGCAGCAGUGAGGAAUAUUGGACAAUGGGUGAGAGCCUGAUCCAGCCAUCCCGCGUGAAGGAUGACGGUCCUAUGGAUUGUAAACUUCUUUUGUACAGGGAUAAACCUACCCUCGUGAGGGUAGCUGAAGGUACUGUACGAAUAAGCACCGGCUAACUCCGUGC
rnacentral:rRNA from 1 species